GACAUAGGUGGCGAACGUUAUCCGGAAUUAUUGGGCGUAAAGGGUGCGUAGGCGGUUUAGCAAGUUAGCAGUGGGAAAUCGAGGCUCAACCUUGUGGAAACUGGUAAUACUGCUAAACUCGAGUGCAGGAGAGGUUAACGGAACUCAAUGUGGAGCGGUAAAAUGCGUAGAUAUAUUGAAGAACACCAAUAACGGCGAAGGCAGUUAACCAUUCUGUUACUGACGUUGAGGCACGAAAGCGUGGGGAGCAAAAAGG
rnacentral:rRNA from 1 species